GCCAUGGCAUCGGAUGACGACAGCGACCUCGAGGUUGAAUUCGACUCUUUCUAGUCUGAUUGACCAGAUGUCUGCUGAGGCUGACCUGUACGGUAACGAGCUGCGUAGAACCAAAAUCGAAAUAGCUGACAUCAACAGGAUGAUCCGCAGUCUGCAGAAUGAAACCCUUGCUGUGCAGAAACAGAUUUGAACAGCCCCUAACUGUCAGAAUCCAGAAAUGACCUAACAGUGCAGACCGCCAUGUAAACAACUACCAGCAAUGAAAACCUGCUUCACUUCUCAUCAAGAUUUUGGAAACCCAAAAUGUAUCACACAGCUAAUCCAAGAAACACAUGAUGGUCCUGGAAAACGGCUUUAUCACGCUAGCUUUACUCUGCUAACUGACUUAAUUGGCCAAAUGUGGGAACUUAUUAUUUUUCCCAUUGUGUUGAAUUUAUCAUUAAUUCCCACUUUCUCUGUUUAAAAUUAGCUGCAUGAUCAUUCAUAUUCAUUCACUCAAUAAUUAAACAGUUAUCCAACUCU